rnacentral:rRNA from 1 species
UGGGGGAUAUUGCACAAUGGGCGAAAGCCUGAUGCAGCGACGCCGCGUGGGGGAUGAAGGCCUUCGGGUUGUAAACUUCUUUUGCUCUGAACAAGGCAUGCUUUUGGGGUGUGUUGAGUGUAGGGGUUGAUUAGCGCCGGCUAACUACGUGCCAGCAGCCGCGGUAAUACGUAGGGCGCGAGCGUUGUCCGGAAUUAUUGGGCGUAAAGGGCUUGUAGGUGGCUGGUUGCGUCUGUCGUGAAAGCUCAUGGCUUAACUGUGGGUUUGCGGUGGGUACGGGCUGGCUUGAGUGCAGUAGGGGAGGCUGGAAUUCCUGGUGUAGCAGUGGAAUGCGCAGAUAUCAGGAGGAAUACCGGUGGCGAAGGCGGGUCUCUGGGCUGUUACUGACGCUGAGGAGCGAAAGCGUGGGGAGCGAACAGG